rnacentral:sRNA from 1 species
UCGCAGGCCGUGUCAAGCGGACGUGAUGGGGAUGGAGAACAGAGGGAUUUUUCCGCUUUCUUCCUCUGGCCAACGAAAUGGCAGCCGAGCUUCCCACCCAUCCGGCCC